rnacentral:lncRNA from 1 species
ACGGAUCGAUUUCUGAAGGUGGUAUUCGAUAUUGGGAAAGUUGCAGUGGUUCUGACUCAGAGGAUACUUGAUUUUUGGUGGUGUAGGGGUUGUGUCAUAGGGUAAAUAUUGGUUAUUGUAAUCAGAGUUACGGCAGUCCAAGUUGGUGUACUGAUUUCCUCGGGACGAUUUCCCAGAAUAAAUGAUUGUAUACUUUGAUGGUUUCCUGCUCCUUUAGCUAGAGUGAAAUUCGGGAGAGAUUAGGGACUGACGCUGCAGCAAUGAUUGAUGCAUAGGGGACAAGUGCCUAGGCGUAACACUGUAUGCAAUCAUCCCAUCACUUGACUCGUCGUCACUGAUGACGAUUACGUCAGGUGGAUUUAAACGACGGCGACGGACCGGGGAUGUUUCUUGGGGUCGUUUCCUUGACGUCAUAUCCAAUCCUACCUGAAAUUUUUUUUCAUGUUCAACUAAAAAUUUAGAAUGUUUUAUUUUUAAUUGAAAAUAGGAGUACAACAAUAAUUAUUUAGUAAAUUCACUAAACUCAUUAAAUCUAGACAAUAUGUAUACAAUGAAAAACUAUUCAGGAAGUAAUACAUAGUAGAACUCAAUUAGUAUUAAUUUGAUAAUGAUUAAUAAAUUUCAGAAAAAUGAUUGUAAUUAGCUGAGCAAAAUAAUAUGCAAGUAAAUUCUGGGGUGAUUCAAGAACUACCCCGAGUUACUCUGGAGUUACUUAAGAGCUACCCCAGAGCUACUCUGGGGUUACUCCAGAUCUAGUACAAAGCUACCCCAUAUUUACUCCAAAGUCAGCCAAGAACUACUCUGGCGAUCUAGCCAAUCAGGUUGUUCCUGAAUAUUUAAAAUAUUAGCUAUAGUUUUUGACACGAAUGCUGAAUAAUUUAUUUCCAUGGAUCAACUUAUUUAUUAACAUCAUAUGGAUAAAACUGAAUGAAAUUUUAUUCAUAUGCAAAGACUAAUUAAAAUGAUUAUGAGUACUGAAAUUGUUUUAAAACAAAAUGGAUUGGAUUUGAAUAUGCACCCUCAGUGAAACUUAAAUAUGCACCCUCAUAGACUAAUUCACAUGCAAAAACUAUUAAAAACUGCACAUAAAAAAACUAUUUUAAAAAAAAACUCAUUCAUAAAAACUUCUAUAAGUUUAAAUAGAAGACCUGAAAAUACGACCUGAAGUAUGAUAUGUGAAACUAUGUUAAUGUAUACUCAGUAGAAACUAAAUAAAAAAAAAUUAACAAAGAAACACCUGAAAGAUGAUAUGUGAAUGAUUUAGUAAAAUAUGUGAACUGGAUCAUAUGCAAAAUUAAAAAAGAACACCUGAAAGUAAAAAAAAUUAAAAAAUUCAAUGUAAAAUAUCACAAGAAACAAAAUCAGUAUGGACCAUAUCAGUAGGAACUAAAACAUCAGUUGAAACAGAAAAUCAUUGAAAUGAGUGAGGUUUUUCUAUAUUAUGUAAAUGUACACUAAGUUGGAACUGAAUCACAAAAAAAAGUAGAAAAGAAUCUCUGAAAUGUUCAUUCAGCAGGAAGUAAAAUAAAUAAAUAAAGUUAAGGCAGAACACCUGAAAUAUGAUUUAAAGUAAAAGAAUAGUGAAAAUGAUACUGAAUCACAAAAACUGGUGUCUAUUUCACAAAAAAUGGUUUCUAUUUCAUAAAAAAUGGUUUCUGUUUCAGUAUUUCAAAUUUUGAAACUGAUACAAACCUAAAUAUCAUUAGAAAACAAAACUGUAGAACCAUAUCAGUACAGACUUUAACAGACUAACAGUGUUUCAGUACUCAUAGAAAAAAAGAGUAGCAUUUGCAGUACUCUAAAUUGGAAUCUCUGCAAAUUCUAUGUAAAUGGACACUAAGUUGGUACUGAUUAACAAAAAAAGUAGAAAAGAAUCUCUAACAUAUUCAUUCAGCAGGAAGUAAAAUCAAAUAAAAAUUAAGGGAGAACAACUGAAAUAUGAUUCGAAGUAAAAGAAUAGUGAAAAUGAUAUUGAAUCAGAAAAACUGGUGUCUAUUUCACACAAAAUGGUUUCUAUUUCAGAAAAAAUGGUUUCUGUUUCAGUAUUUCAAAUACUGAAAAUGAUAGACACCUAAAUAUCAUUAGAAAAUAAAUCAGUAGAACCAUAUCAGUACAAACUGUAACAGACUAACAGUACUCUAGAUCAAGUGAUAACAUGUUUCAAUAUCUGUAUUUCAGUACUCUUAUAAAAAAAGGGUAGCAAUUUAGUACUACUCUAAAUUUCAGUAUUUAAGAAAAACUUGAUAUUAUUUCAGAUACAAACUAAAAUAUAAACUGGUGUCUAUUUCAAACAAAAUGGUUUCUAUUUCAGAAAAAAAUGGUUUCUUUUCAGAGUAAUGAUACAAACCUAAAUAUCAUUAGAAAAAAAUCGGUAGAAUCAUAUCAGUAUAAACUGUAACAGACUAACAUUACUCUAAGAUUAAGUGAUAACAUGUUUAUAUUUUUGUAUUUCAGUACUCUUAGAAAAAAAGGGAAGCAUUUCAGUACUCUAAAUUUUUUAAAAAAAGGUAGCAACUCAGUGAAAUACAAACUAAAAUACAAGAAAAUCAUUAGAACUGUGAGCAAUACAAACUUUACAGAAAGUUAUUAUAAAUAAAUAAACAUGUAUAACAUUUUCAAUUGUUAGCUAUCGAGAUCUAAUUUCAGAGCAUUCGUGUGGAGCAGAUUCAGUACCUUGUAACCGGAAGGAGAAGCGGGCUUCUGCUGAUUCAGAGCGAUCGCUGGAAGUUUGAUCGUCGUCCCAAGAACGCGAACAACACCGGAAUUGUGUGUUUAAUUGAAGAUUAAGAUUGUCAUUUAUAGAUAGCGAAUCCCGAAUUUUCAAUUCCCAAAAUACCAAUGCUAAUGACCACGUUCUUGGGACGAUGCGAUGUUGAUCGGUGUCACGCAAUGGAAGCGGCACGGCGGAUGGGUACCUCACGUAUGGGAUCUGAAGACCUAAUUGAAAUGUCACUACUGAUAUUUGAGACCACGGGCCGAGCUACCUAAUGAACGGCAUCGUGGUAAUAAAUGUCAUCUUAUACGGCGGGGGGAGAAGUCAAAUAGAGGUAUGGUGAGUGCUGACACAUGUUUGUACACCGGUCACUCCCUUCAACAUGACCUAGGGUUCUGUUUACUUAAUGCGGGAUUCCCGGAAGGCUCCCACGAAAGAGGA